UGCUAAAAAUUUCAUCCAUUUGUACUAUUAAAAAUUAGUGUGACUAAUGAAAUAACUAGACAAUGACCGUGAUGUACAAAGAUCUGUUUUUAAUAGUACAAAUAAAUGAAUUUUUUAACA
rfam:Gossypium raimondii Chr07_contig_340, whole genome shotgun sequence.